rnacentral:rRNA from 1 species
AUUGAACGCUGGCGGCAUGCCUUACACAUGUAAGUCGAACGGCAGCAUGGAGAGCUUGCUCUCUGAUGGCGAGUGGCGAACGGGUGAGUAAUGCAUCGGAACGUACCGUGUAAUGGGGGAUAACGUAGCGAAAGUUACGCUAAUACCGCAUACGACCUGAGGGUGAAAGCAGGGGAUCGCAAGACCUUGCGUUAUACGAGCGGCCGAUGUCAGAUUAGCUAGUUGGUGAGGUAAAGGCUCACCAAGGCGACGAUCUGUAGCGGGCCUGAGAGGGUGAUCCGCCACACUGGGACUGAGACACGGCCCAGACUCCUCCGGGAGGCAGCAGUGUGGAAUUUUUGACAAUGGGGGCAACCCUGAUCCAGCCAGGCCGCGUGAGUGAAGAAGGCCUUCGGGUUGUAAAGCUCUUUCGGCCGGGAAGAAAUCGCACAGGCUAAUACUCUGUGUGGAUGACGGUACCGGCAUAAGAAGCACCGGCUAACUACGUGCCAGCAGCCGCCGUAA